rnacentral:rRNA from 1 species
CCUACGGGAGGCAGCAGUAGGGAAUCUUCCACAAUGGGCGAAAGCCUGAUGGAGCAACGCCGCGUGGGUGAAGAAGGUCUUCGGAUCGUAAAACCCUGUUGUUAGAGAAGAAAGUGCGUGAGAGUAACUGUUCACGUUUCGACGGUAUCUAACCAGAAAGCCACGGCUAACUACGUGCCAGCAGCCGCGGUAGUACGUAGGUGGCAAGCGUUAUCCGGAUUUUUUGGGCGUAAGGGGAACGCAGGCGGUCUUUUAAGUCUGAUGUGAAAGCCUUCGGCUUAACCGGAGUAGUGCAUUGGAAACUGGGAGACUUGAGUGCAGAAGAGGAGAGUGGAACUCGAGGUGUAGCGGUGAAAUGCGUAGAUAUAUGGCAGAACACCAGUUGCGAAAGCGGCUCUCUGGUCUGUAACUGACGCUGAGGUUCGAAAGCGUGGGUAGCAAACAGGAUUAGAUACCCUUGUAGUC